rnacentral:rRNA from 1 species
CACAUGCAAGUCGAACGGUAACAGGAAUCCGCUUGCUGUUUCGCUGACGAGUGGNGGACGGGUGAGUAAUGUCUGGGAAACUGCCUGAUGGAGGGGGAUAACUACUGGAAACGGUAGCUAAUACCGCAUAACGUCACAAGACCAAAGAGGGGGACCUUCGGGCCUCUUGCCAUCGGAUGUGCCCAUAUGGGAUUAGCUAGUAAGUGGGGUAACGGCUCACCUANGCGACGAUCCCUAGAUGGGCUGAGAGGAUGACCAGCCACUCUGGAACUGAGACACGGCCCACACUCCUACGGGAGGCGGCAUUGGGGAAUAUUGCACAAUGGGCGAAAGCCUGAUGCAGCCAUGCCGCGUGUAUGAAUAAGGCCUUCNGGUUGUAAAGUACUUUCAGCGGGGAGGAAGGGAGNAAAGUUAAUACCUUUGCUCAUUGACNUUACCCGCANAAGAANCACCNGCUAACUCCGUGCCCGC